GAUCCAAUAGCUCAAACUCGGCAAGAGCAUCCUAGCCUAGUGCUAGUGAGAUUGGUGGUUCAAAUCCACCUGGAUCU
rnacentral:tRNA from 1 species